AAAAAAAAAAAAAAAAAGUAAAAUUUGGAAAUAACAAUUUGGUUUGAUAAGUGAUAAGUGAAAGUGUUUAAUACUAUAUCGUAUAAACUUAACCGGUUGAAAUAUAUCGGUAUCGAUAAAUUCGGUAGUUUGGCGCGAAUAUCGAGACUCAUUUUAAAACUCUAAUUCGCGCCCAAGCCCAAGGAUGGACUGGCAAGGAUCGCCACGUUCGUCUACUCAACCUUCGAGAAAAAAGGGCCAGCGGUAGAAUUGCCAGUACUGAUUCCAGCGACUCCGCCGAGCCUGGGGAAAUUAAAAGGAAGUCAGCCAGGAAGUCAGAUGACGAAAAACACUAGCACAAAACUAAAACACCAGCACUAGUGCAGCAGCUCGAGCCAAAUUGGAUGCACUAAACAGAGCAGCUAAGCUAGGAGACAACUAUUUCGCUCCCCUCUCUUCAGAUGAUGACGAUAGCGACGAUGUGGAGGAGACCGUGAUUGGCUCUAGCGAAAGUGAGUUGGACGUCGACUGUGCCGGGCACAAAUACAGGAAAAACAAGGCUGCCGAAACGGCAACGCCCAAGUCCUUCAAGCCUCCGCCGAUCUUCAUCCCAGAUGUCACAAACAUCGCGGCCCUAAUUUCCUCCAUCGAGGGCAUUGUGGGCAAAAACAAGGACUUUUCAUACAAAGCCGCUAGAGACAACCAGGUGAGGGUGAUGAUGCCGGACAAAGAGUCGUACUCUGCUCAAGUCCCACCUCGAUAGUGCCGGGAAAAGAUACUACACGUUCCAGCCCCAAGAAGACAGGGCCUAUCGAGUGGUGGUGAAAGGUCUGCAUCACACCACAGACGUUGA